CGGUCUGUGGUGUGGAAGGUGGACCGUGUCGCGCGGGGUUCCUCCGCGUGAGUCGUAUUUGGUUGAGACUGUACGUAACCGAGGGGAAUUUGGACGUGAUUGUUGAAUUUGAUUGUGUCGCUGUCUGGAAUCGUGGAUGGGAGUGACGUGUGAGGACCACGGGACUCUUCCCUUUUCCAAAAGAAGAACUCAAAAAACAAGGUUCAUCUCUUACAAAUCUCAAAGCCAUGCCUAAGGAUGAACUAGAGUGUGCCCUUACAGGGAUCAGUGUCGUUCAAGGAUGUGACUGUGGACUUCACCCAGGAGGAGUGGCAGCAACUAGACCCUGCUCAGAAGGCCCUCUACAGGGACGUGAUGCUGGAAAACUACUGCCACUUCCUUUCUGUGGGUAAGGGAACACUCCUUGAAUCUUUCAGUGUCAUGCAACUCCUUUCAAGAAUCCCUGAAACAUGUGGAACAGUACAUUUCAG
rnacentral:lncRNA from 1 species